rnacentral:rRNA from 1 species
UAAAAUAGUAAUAAUUUUAGAGAUUAGUAGUAGUUAAGUUCUUGAAAAUUAAAGAUUUUGGCGGUAUUUUAGUCUAUUCAGAGGAACCUGUCCUAUAAUUGAUAUUCCACGAUAAAAUUUAUUUAUCUUUUAAAUUUAUAUAUCGUCGUUAAUUAAAUAUUUUAAAAGAAUAUAAAAUAUUUAAAAUUUUUAAUAAAAUAGUAAAUCAGAUCAAGAUGUAGUUUAUAGAUAAAAAGAGAUGGGUUACAAUAAGAUAAGUUAUGGAUUAAAAAAUAAAAAAUUUUUAUGAAAAUGGAUUUGAAAGUAAUUUUAUUUUUGAAUUUAAAAUGAUUUAAGCUCUAGAAUAUGC